CCUACGGGUGGCAGCAGUGAGGAAUAUUGGUCAAUGGGCGCAAGCCUGAACCAGCCAAGUAGCGUGAGGGAAGACUGCCCUAUGGGUUGUAAACCUCUUUUGUCAGGGAGUAAUUGGAGCUACGUGUAGCGUUAUCGAGAGGACCUGAAGAUAAAGAACCGGCAAACUCCGUGCCAGCAGCCGCGGUAAUAGGGAGGGUGCAAGCGUUACUCGGAAUAAUUGGGUGUAAAGGGCGCGUAGGGGGGUUAGCAAGUCAGUUGUGAAAUUCUAUGGCUUAACCAUAGAACUGCAUUUGAAACUGGUAGUCUAGAGUAUGGUUGAGGUAGGUGGAAUUCGUGGUGUAGCGGUGAAAUCCGUAGAGAUCAAGAAGAAUUCUCAUUGCGAAGGCGACCUGCUAGACCAUCACUGACGCUGAUGCGCGAAAGCGUGGGUAGCAAACAGGAUUAGAUACCCUUGUAGUC
rnacentral:rRNA from 1 species